GUAGGUCUGAGACUUACCAGUGGAGGAGAAAAUGCUUCUGUAACAAAUUCCUUGAGAGUGAAGCUGCCAUGGUCCUUAGGAGUUGGAGAAAAAGAGGUAAGACAGUGAAGUCUUUAACUGCUCCAGAAGAAGAGGGUCUGGAAAGAAAAUGUCUCUGGCAAAAAAGUAUCAGUCAUAUUUACAGACCCCUCAGACAAUCACCAGAGCAGGUGUCACCAGAUGGCCCAAACCAGUGGUGCAGAGAAGGAAGAGGAAUCCACCUGUUCAGGCACAUGAUACUGUAG
rnacentral:lncRNA from 1 species